rnacentral:rRNA from 1 species
UACAGAGGGUGCAAGCGUUGUUCGGAAUUAUUGGGCGUAAAGAGCUCGUAGGCGGUUUGUCGCGUCUGCCGUGAAAGUCCGGGGCUCAACUCCGGAUCUGCGGUGGGUACGGGCAGACUAGAGUGAUGUAGGGGAGACUGGAAUUCCUGGUGUAGCGGUGAAAUGCGCAGAUAUCAGGAGGAACACCGGAUGGCGAAGGCAGGUCUCUGGGCGAUUAACUGACGCGAGGAGCGGAAAGCAUGGGGAGCGAACAGG